rnacentral:lncRNA from 1 species
CCGGGCUCCCCAGGGCCCUGAAUUUGCUGGAGCCUGGGCACAAUAUAACUCACCGCCUCUGGCAAGGUUCAUCUAGUCUAACCCGUGCCAAGAUGCAGGACUUUGUGUGUCUAACUCACCCAGCUUCUCUCUUCCAGCUGGGAUCCCUUGACUGCAGCAGAUCUCCAGAUAUCCUCGCUCUCCUCUUUCCCUUACAUCCUUCUCUUCUCUGCCCAGUGGUUUGCUGCAUCUCUGAUCCUCUCUCUAUAUGCCCUGCCCCAGCAGCUAGUUACCCAGGCUACACUCCCAUUGCCAUCCGUGGGGGCAGCCUGGGCUGCGAGGGCUGCAGGUUUUGGUCCCUGGUCAAUGCAGGUACUAUGGCUGCUGCACACCUACCUGAUGACUCCUGCAGCCCAUCGCCAAACUGCGGGGCCAUGUUCUGCAGGGUCGCCUCCCUGGCUGAGGUUCUGGGAGCAGAGAGCCCCAGGGUCAGAGCAGGAAAAUGGCCCCAACAGAACACUCUGUCAAUGGCUCCCAGAGAUGUCCCCAUGAUACCCGACUGUGCAGCCUGGGAGUUCUCCCCCAGGAGUUAUCCUGCUUCUUCAUUGUCACCGCAGGCAAGAGUCUGGAAGUGGGAAUGGAGAGGGAGUGUUUGCAGGCAGAGCCUUCCAUGGCUUCCUGAAUGGGAGCCAAGCAGGGCUUGUGCCCAGGGUGGUGAAGGGCCUAGAUUCAGUCCUCACCCAUGCCCAUGGUGUCUCUGUGUGGCCAGGGGUUCCCUUACCCAUCACUGCAGGCUGUUCAGGAAGUGGAGGAGAACCUGGCCAUGGAGGAGGCAGCGUCUCUGGGUCUGAGCAGCACCGGAGCUGGGGGAGCCGGGCGGGAGCUUCAGUACGGGAGGUUUCACAUGCAGUCCAUGGAGCUGGAGAGGACAGAGCUGGGCCCAGAGUCCUGUUACAGCUCCUCAGUUAGUUCCUGUAAGACCCAAAGGAGAAUUUCAGAGUCAGGCCACACUGACCCCUGGGCACUUCCCAGAGAGGCUUCCCAGAC